UUAUAAGAGACAGCAGCAGCCACGGUAAUACGUAGGGUGCGAGCGUUAAUCGGAAUUACUGGGCGUAAAGCGUGCGCAGGCGGUUAUAUAAGACAGAUGUGAAAUCCCCGGGCUCGACCUGGGAACUGCAUUUGAGACUGUAUGGCUAGAGUGUGUCAGAGGAGGGUAGAAUUCCACGUGUAGCAGUGAAAUGCGUAGAUAUGUGGAGGAAUACCGAUGGCGAAGGCAGCCACCUGGGAUAACACUGACGCUCAUGCACGAAAGCGUGGGGAGCAAACAGGAUUAGAUACCCCCGUAGUCCCUGUCUCUUAUAC
rnacentral:rRNA from 1 species